GUCACUAAUCGCAACAAAGUAGAGACGCCAAGUCUGAACCAAGAUGACAUCUUUGCCUACAUUUAUUUCAUAUUUGAAAUCUAAAAAAAGAAUCCUCAGGUAAACAAGACCAUUAAACGAGCUAUUCCACAUCACAUCACCAGGCUCCUCAUCUAUUUCAUACUCUCCCGCAGACUCGAGAUUAACUACCCUUGAUUUUGAGGUGUAAUAGCUUUCACCGGACGAGCUAAUCACAAGUCUUCAACAUGCCUGGAACUAAUUGGACUAAACUGUUUCACUGUCUGCUCAUUCUUGUUGUCCUCUUGCAUAUUGUCAAAAGGUGUGAUGGAAGAGUGGUGUUGUCUCUAAGACUUGGUCAGUUUCUCAAUCCAGUCAGCAGGUUAUAUGGUAAUAAUUGUUGUAACUUCAGGGAAGGGCAAUGUGGUCCGUGUUACUACGAGUUCCAGAUCUGCGUCUCUCACCUUUCAAGUUUCCGCUAUUCGUCAACUGGCGAUCCAUUAUGUGACUACGGGAGAUGGCAUUCUGGAAUAAUACAACCAGGGGCUGAACCUUUUUAUCUACCAUCAAGAUUCCCAAGUGGUCAUUCGAAUCCAGUGCAGAUCAACAUUCCUGAUUGGAAGGUAAAUUGGUAUCUAUUAUCCAAUAGCGAGUUUUCGCACGGCGACGUACGGAUCGAGGAUUCAAGAAAAGAGAAAAUAUAUUGUCAAAUGCCCUUAGUGACAAACAACAAUCAAGAAGUCUUUUUCGAAAAAUUGAUGAAUCAAAACAGCAGUUUAGUCCUUUCUUGACUCCGGACAAAUGACAUACAUGUAUUUGCAUUUUUUUGGUCAGUUCCGAAGCUUAUAAAUGACGAAACUGCUGUUCCGGUUCACCAUUUUUCGACAAAGACCUCCUAACUGUUCUUUGCCAUUUGACGGGCAUUGUCAAUGUAUUGACUAUGUUCUUGAUUCCUCCAUACGCGAAAACUUCAUGAUAAAUCUGUUGACAAACAUUUCAAACGAUACCUUUACGCAUAUUUUAUUUCAAUAGGAAUCUUUUUUUUCUCGAAAGACUGAAACUUUCAAGAGAUAUACCAGACAUAGCAACUAGUAAUGUAUGAUCACAGCGGCCGGUCAGAUGAACACGACGUUACCAGGAAGAACCAAAUGAUAAUCGUGUAUUUUUAGGGGAAGGGCCCUUUGUAUUGAUAUAUAUAAAUACCAUACUAAAAAUCAAUAAGCUUCUCAUUUAAGCACGAUCAAUCUUCAGAAAGAGAGAACGUGCGAAUCGUUGUCCACAAUCUUCCCUUUAUGUCCAGCUUAAAAUUCGAUGACAGAUGUGCCCAUCGUCUCAUUCAUUAUCUAUUUUAAAUUGCUUUGUACUUUUUAGUGCCACAAGAUGAUCCGAGCGACAUUCUCGCUGUCUUUUUAAAUAUUGUUCUAUUGCUAGGUCAGAUAUGCACUCAGAACGUCAUGCUUCAUGUCAGGUGCAUCCGUUGUCAAGGCAACGAGUUCGACGGAAAUGAAACGCGACAGGUGUCAUUAUAUAGGUGAUAGCUUCCGGGCCACCUGACUCGUCAUUGAUUGGUAUACCAGGCGCUAAUUUUUUGUUAAUGGCUUAAAGGACAUCACUUGACUUAUAGAACAUGACAGUCAAAAGUUAUAAAUUUUGUGGGGGUUAAAAUAUUAAUUGUUCUGACUCGUGAUAAUUAGAUGCCAAAUUAUCAUAAUUUUUUAUGAAGAAUAAUGAAGGAACUAGAAAAGCUUUAAAACAGAUUGUUGAUGAUAGUCGCUACUGUCACAUAAACGUUGUUUGUUUUGAGGCGGCUCCCAGCAGCAUGUUAAGGUACAUAAAAGGCCUUUUUCUCUAGUUUUUUUAAAAUGUUUUCUCGACGUGUUCCGUUUAUGCCAGUAUUUAAUCCACAUUUACUGCUAUCCUGUGAAGAAAAUGAAAAUGUCUAGUAUCUCAUUAGCGGUCUUUCUGGUUGUCACACAUCAAGUAUUUAGUCUGUCCGAGAACCGCUUUCGCCCCAUUCCUCAUGAACGGGGCCUUCUCACCCAGUUAGCCAGAGCUCAGGCAUCGAACCCCCGACCUGAUAAUCAAUCCAAGUGGUUGCCCGUAGGAAGGGAUCGUAGUGUGAUUAACCGAAUAAGAAUGCGACGAAGC